ensembl:snRNA U6 U6 spliceosomal RNA
GUGCUCGCUUUGACAGCACAUAUACUAAAAUUGGAACGAUACAGAGAAGAUUAGCAUGGCCCCUGCGCAAGGAUUACUACUUGGGUCAUGAUCUCAUGGUUCAUAAAUUCU